rnacentral:rRNA from 1 species
AAUUCCGAUACUGUGUAUUGCUGCGAUGGGGGGACGGAGAAGGCUAGGCCAGCCUGCGAUUGGUAGUGCAGGUUUAAAGUGGUAGGCAGGCGAUCCAGGUAAAUCCGGAUGGUCAAUGCUGAGGACUGAUGACGAGUCUCUAAGGAGAUGGAGUGGUUGACGCCAGGCUUCCAGGAAAAGCCUCUAAGCUUCAGGCAAUACGUAACCGUACCCCAAACCGACACAGGUGGUCAGGUAGAGCAUACCAAGGCGCUUGAGAGAACUCGGGUGAGGGAACUAGGCAAAAUGGUGCCGUAACUUCGGGAGAAGGCACGCCAGCCAGGGUGAAGGACUUGCUCCAUAAGCCCCGGCUGGUCGAAGAUACCAGGCCCCUGCGACUGUUUAUUAAAAACACAGCACUCUGCAAACACGAAAGUGGACGUAUAGGGUGUGACGCCUGCCCGGUGCUGGAAGGUUAAUUGAUGGGGUUAGCGUAAGCGAAGCUCUUGAUCGAAGCCCCAGUAAACGGCGGCCGUAACGAUAACGGUCCUAAGGUAGCGAAAUUCCUUGUCGGGUAAGUUCCGACCUGCACGAAUGGCGUAACGAUGGGGGCGCUGUCUCCACCCGAGACUCAGUGAAAUUGAAAUCGCCGUGAAGAUGCGGUGUAUCCGCGGCUAGACGGAAAGACCCCGUGAACCUUUACUAUAGCUUCACAGUGAACUUUGAACCUGCUUGUGUAGGAUAGGUGGGAGGCUUUGAAGCGUGGACGCCAGUCCGCGUGGAGCCAUCCUUGAAAUACCACCCUGGCAUGUUUGAGGUUCUAACUCUGGUGUGACAUCACCGAGGACACUGUGUGGUGGGUAGUUUGACUGGGGCGGUCUCCUCCCAAAGAGUAACGGAGGAGCACGAAGGUGCGCUAAUCACGGUCGGACAUCGUGAGGUUAGUGUAAUGGCACAAGCGCGCUUAACUGCGAGACGGACAGGUCGAGCAGGUACGAAAGUAGGUCAUAGUGAUCCGGUGGUUCUGUAUGGAAGGGCCAUCGCUCAACGGAUAAAAGGUACUCCGGGAAUAACAGGCUGAUACCGCCCAAGAGUUCACAUCGACGGCGGUGUUUGGCACCUCGAUGUCGGCUCAUCACAUCCUGGGGCUGAAGCCGGUCCCAAGGGUAUGGCUGUUCGCCAUUUAAAGUGGUACGCGAGCUGGGUUUAGAACGUCGUGAGACAGUUCGGUCCCUAUCUGCCGUGGACGUUGGAGAUUUGAGAAGAGUUGCCCUUAGUACGAGAGGACCGGGGUGAACGAACCGCUGGUGUUCGGGUUGUCAUGCCAAUGGCAUUGCCCGGUAGCUACGUUCGGACAGGAUAACCGCUGAAAGCAUCUAAGCGGGAAGCCUCCUUCAAGAUGAGAUCUCCCUGAUUCCUUGAGAAUCCUAAAGGGCCCUUGUAGACGACGAGGUUGAUAGGUUGGGUGUGUAAGCGCUGUGAGGCGUUGAGCUA